rnacentral:rRNA from 1 species
GACAGUGGCUAUAGCAUGUUGAAUGCACCAGUUUCCUUUGGAUCACUGAAGUUAAGCAAUGUUGCGUGAGGUUAGUAUCCGGAUGGGUGACCAACUGGGCAAUCCUGUGGUGCUGGCU